rnacentral:rRNA from 1 species
CAUGCAAGUCGAGGGGUAACAGGAGAUAGCUUGCUAUCUUGCUGACGACCGGCGAACGGGUGAGUAACGCGUAGGAAUCUGCCUCAAAGCAGGGGAUAGCCCGGGGAAACUCGGAUUAAUACCGUAUAUAUUCUAAGGAAUAAAGAUGCCUUUUGGUGUCGCUUUGAGAUGAGCCUGCGUCCGAUUAGCUUGUUGGUAAGGUAAAAGCUUACCAAGGCGACGAUCGGUAGCUGGUCUGAGAGGACGUGCAGCCACACUGGGACUGAGACACGGCCCAGACUCCUACGGGAGGCAGCAGUGGGGAAUAUUGGACAAUGGGCGCAAGCCUGAUCCAGCAAUGCCGCGUGAGUGAUGAAGGCCCUAGGGUUGUAAAGCUCUUUUACUAGGGAUGAUAAUGACAGUACCUAGAGAAUAAGCUCCGGCUAACUCCGUGCCAGCAGCCGCGGUAAUACGGAGGGAGCUAGCGUUGUUCGGAAUUACUGGGCGUAAAGCGCGCGUAGGCGGCUCGUCAAGUCAGGGGUGAAAGCCCGGGGCUCAACCCCGGAACUGCCUUUGAAACUAGCGAGCUAGAAUCUUGUAGAGGUUAGCGGAAUUCCGAGU